rnacentral:tRNA from 2 species
CGGGGUGUGGUUUACCGGUAUAACGCACGGUUCGGAACCGUGAGAUAGAGAGUUCGAUUCUCUCCACCCCGA